rnacentral:pre_miRNA from 1 species
GGUUAACAUGGUCCCCCGACUCUAAUUCAUGCUUCCGUGAGAAGUCGCGGUAGCGCCUCCGUGGAAAGGCGCGGAGGCAGCUAGCACGUUGAAUACUUGUAGAGUCUGGGGACUAUGUUAACC